CUUGAACUCAAGCAAUCCUCCGCCUUGGCUUCCCAAAGUGCUGGAAUUACAGGCGUGAGCCACCGCGCCCGGCUGAUAAUGAAAUUUCUAAGCACUUAAGAACAUGCAUUCAAAAGGCUCUGGAGUUUUUUGAAAAAUAGGGUAACCUGCAGUAAAAGAAAAUUUUACACACUUUCACUUUUUUUUUCUUUAAAUACUAAGUCUAUUUAGUAGACUGGCAUCUCCAGGUGGCUAAAAUAAUUCGUUGAUAUCAUCAAACAUCUAAUUAGUGUUCAAAUUUCUCAAAUUGUCUUAAAAAUUCUGUUUUAACCAUUGAUUUGUUUGAAUCAAGAUCCAAAUAACGGAGCAGAAUUUUUAUCACCAAGCCCACUGGCUGGUUACACUUUACCUCUUUUCAAAACAGAUGUUUGUCACUGUAACACAUUUCUAUAAGCAAGAGAAUUGAGGGAUUAAUUCAAGGUCUCUAUAUGUGCUUUACAAAUAUCAGAUAGGCUCUGGUAAUUAAAUUACGGAAAAUUCGCAUAAGUAAUAUCUUGAUGUUAAUCUUGGACAUUAGGACUCAAAAGGCAGCAAUGACAAAGAAACCCAUUUAUGUUGAUUUCACAGCCUUUGGGGGUCUCCUUGCCUUUAUUUUGAUUGUUGGAAACAGACCCACUCUUUGGCCACUAUAUAACAAAGUACUAAAAAUGUAUAAUAACGCAAAUUCAUUAACAUGUUUAUUAAAAUACAGACACGUUUAUUACAAAUCUGUAGCUUUAUUUACAACUAACAUCCUUAUUUUUGUUCUAUAUGCCCACGUUUGUUCUCAAGUACAACGAAGGACUGAGAGAGCACAUAAUCCCCUCUAGGUGUAAAUGAACGUAUUUAUUUUGCUUCAACUCAUGUAUGAAAGGAUUAAAAAAUUAUUAUAGCCCCCACAACUUAGUUCUCCCAAAGAGAAGGUGCCAAGAAUGAGGCACCUUUAGCCAUCCAUAAUCUCCACCCAUCUCAUCAAAUAAACGGAACAGUGAUGAACAUACUUGCUAAGUAAGCUCAGUCGUGUAAUACGUCCCUAGAUUCCCCUCCCUUCUUCAUCCGACCAGAACAUUAUCCUUAAGGUUUUCCUAACUAGCAGUCUGCGUCUAACACUGACCCUAACUAUCCAGAGUCACCUAACAUAUGCUUAUUUCCUUGUUUCAGAUUCCCAUUAUCCCUAUCUUAAUGGGACAACUGGGUCCGAAACUAUGCACGUGGUUUUUUUUUUUUUUUGUUCUGUUUUUGCCGUGUACUUAUUAUCCACACCUUAUCAUCAAGUUCCUCAAAAGCUAGAACAAAACAAAUCCGUGUCAUCCACUAUGUGCAUCCUUCCUCUCUGCUUGGGGACGCCAAGGGUUUCAAGCUGCUGCCUCCUUGCCCUGGUCUCUGCUUGCCGUAUCAGCCCUGGGUAAGCGCCCAGGUUCUGCUCAGGGACUAAAACUCAUGAUCUUCUGGCUCAGUUUCUGUGAACUGAGUCAUUCUGGCACUGAGAAUAUUCCGUGACUCAGCAGGCCCGAAAAGGAGGAUGUCAGAAUCCACAUAAUUUCGAGUCUUUUAAAGGCAAGCCGAGGGACACAAACAACACAGCGGAAGAAUUUCGCAGUGGGUCGUGCGUACCCAAGGGAAAAAUGUCAUUCCAUUCCCAGCCUUUUCACUUCCUUCCUUGCCCCGGUAAAACGACUGGUUACACUUUAAUUCAGCGGCAGGAAAUCGCUUCACAAAACUCAUCUGGCUGCUGCGGGCCCUUCUGAUUCU
rnacentral:lncRNA from 1 species